CAGGACGCUGAGAACUUCCAGCACCCGGACACAUGCUGAAUGCUGCCGGCCUAAUAUCACAGGAGCGCGAUCUCCGAGAAGUGACUUCCGAGAAUUUUCUGCACUGAUUUAAAUUACAUUAGUUGUCUACAGAUGGCUGACCUGGGAUUAAUAUGUCUGAAUCUCAUGUAAAAGAGCAUCGGGCCAGGAUGAACAUCAGACAUCUGGGAAAGAUCAUUCCAAGUGCUGUAUUUCUUUUCUAAAUUAAUCUGCUGAGGGUUUUAAUAAAUUUGGCUUUCAUGGAGCUGCCUGUUCACAUUCCAUAGAGAACAGCAUGUAAUUUGUAAAUAGAAUUUUAAAAAAGAUACAUUCACACUUUGAUAUAUUUUUUUUCUCUUUAAAAAGUAUAUAAUAUUUCCUUUAAGAAUAUGAGAUACUUGCUCAUUUUAAUUUCAAAAGCUGACACUUGCACCAUGGUUUUGGGGAUAAAAGAUCAUGUUUCCUUGUCUUUCUGUUCUCUAUUGUAACUGUUUUGUUUCCCCCCAAAUAUUUAUCUAGGAUGUCAAUUUAUAAAUUUGAUUGUAUUGCUAAUAAAAGGGUGGCAUUAUGCUAACAUGUGCCUUUGUUACUUUUAACUAAAAAUGUAAAUUUUUAGCAAUGACUGAUGAGGGGUACUUACUGGAGGUAUGGUUACAAAAGAGCAUGUGUGAAAUAAAAAGGGGCAGAAAUUUAGAAGCAUAGAUCUUCAUUAUCUAGGCUCCACCUGUCCUGAUGUAGACAUUGAUCUCUGGGGUAAUUUGUGACUUUUUAAAAAAUUUUAAAAAUAAUUUGCUUUUA